rnacentral:rRNA from 1 species
CCUACGGGGGGCUGUAGUGGGGAAUAUUGGACAAUGGGCGAAAGCCUGAUCCAGCCAUGCCGCGUGUGUGAAGAAGGCCUUCGGGUUGUAAAGCACUUUCAGUGGGGAAGAAAGCCUUGGGGCUAAUACCCUCGAGGAAGGACAUCACCCACAGAAGAAGCACCGGCUAACUCCGUGCCAGCAGCCGCGGUAAUACGGAGGGUGCGAGCGUUAAUCGGAAUUACUGGGCGUAAAGCGCGCGUAGGCGGUCUGAUAAGCCGGUUGUGAAAGCCCCGGGCUCAACCUGGGAACGGCAUCCGGAACUGUCAGGCUAGAGUGCAGGAGAGGAAGGUAGAAUUCCCGGUGUAGCAGUGAAAUGCGUAGAGAUCGGGAGGAAUACCAGUGGCGAAGGCGGCCUUCUGGACUGACACUGACGCUGAGGUGCGAAAGCGUGGGUAGCAAACAGGAUUAGAUACCCGAGUAGUC